rnacentral:rRNA from 1 species
ACUAGCCUCUAAUGUGAGAGGGUACCCCCUGGAUUUAAGCAUAUUAAUAAGGGGAGGAAAAGAAAAUCA